rnacentral:rRNA from 1 species
AACGAACGCUGGCGGCAUGCCUAACACAUGCAAGUCGAACGAGACCUUCGGGUCUAGUGGCGCACGGGUGCGUAACGCGUGGGAACCUGCCCUUAGGUUCGGAAUAACUCCCCGAAAGGGGUGCUAAUACCGGAUAAUGUCUUCGGACCAAAGAUUUAUCGCCUUUGGAUGGGCCCGCGUUGGAUUAGCUAGUUGGUAGGGUAAAAGCCUACCAAGGCGACGAUCCAUAGCUGGUCUGAGAGGAUGAUCAGCCACACUGGGACUGGGACACGGCCCAGACUCCUGCGGGAGGCAGCAGUGGGUAAUAUUGGACAAUGGGCGGAAGGCUGAUCCAGCAAUGCCGCGUGAGUGAUGAAGUCCUUAGGGUUGUAAAGCUCUUUUACCCGGGAUGAUAAUGACAGUACCGGAAGAAUAAGCUCCGGCUAACUCCGUG